AUUGAACGCUGGCGGCAGGCUUAACACAUGCAAGUCGAGCGGGGAAAGGUAGCUUGCUACCGGACCUAGCGGCGGACGGGUGAGUAAUGCUUAGGAAUCUGCCUAUUAGUGGGGGACAACAUCUCGAAAGGGAUGCUAAUACCGCAUACGUCCUACGGGAGAAAGCAGGGGAUCUUCGGACCUUGCGCUAAUAGAUGAGCCUAAGUCGGAUUAGCUAGUUGGUGGGGUAAAGGCCUACCAAGGCGACGAUCUGUAGCGGGUCUGAGAGGAUGAUCCGCCACAAUGGGACUGAGACACGGCCCAGACUCAUACGGGAGGCAGCAGUGGGGAAUAUUGGACAAUGGGGGGAACCCUGAUCCAGCCAUGCCGCGUGUGUGAAGAAGGCCUUAUGGUUGUAAAGCACUUUAAGCGAGGAGGAGGCUACUUUAGUUAAUACCUAGAGAUAGUGGACGUUACUCGCAGAAUAAGCACCGGCUAACUCUGCGCCAGCCGCCGCAGUAA
rnacentral:rRNA from 1 species